CAUCCUUUACCGGAGCCAGUUAGGAAUAAAGAUGGCGACGCGGCGCCAUAACUUAACAGGAAAGAGAAACCCGAGAAACGGCCCAAACAGAGUCCGGUGAGGGAUGAACGGUGCACUUUAUGUGUUUCUGUUUAGAAAUAUAAACACCCGACAGGUUCCUUAAGUUUUCACCUUAAUAGUUAUUCAAACGAGCUGCAUGACGGAGCAGCGUCAACUUCUCAAUGAAAAACAACUGAGAUGUGCUAUGAAGACGGGAAUGAUCUGAUGAGGUUAUGGAGAAAAAUUAUUACAUAAUGGAAACAAACAUGGCACCAAUAAGCAAGAUGGUUUAAUCACUUUAUGGAGCGAAGUUUUUAAUUCCACAGACAUUACUUCUGUAUGAACGUCUCUCUGAUGAGUUGAGUUAGGACGUCUUGUCAUCCAAAGGAGCUGCUGCUGGCCAAAUCCUCCUCCCCCCAACUCAGCGUUUA